rnacentral:rRNA from 1 species
UACGAAGGGGGCUAGCGUUGCUCGGAAUUACUGGGCGUAAAGGGCGCGUAGGCGGAUAGUUUAGUCAGAGGUGAAAGCCCAGGGCUCAACCUUGGAAUUGCCUUUGAUACUGGCUAUCUUGAGUUCGGGAGAGGUGAGUGGAAUGCCGAGUGUAGAGGUGAGAUUCGUAGAUAUUCGGCGGAACACCAGUGGCGAAGGCGACUCACUGGCCCGAUACUGACGCUGAGGCGCGAAAGCGUGGGGAGCAAACAGG